rnacentral:tRNA from 1 species
AGGAUAAUAGUUUAUUAAAAACAUUUAAAUUGCACUUAAAAAAUAUUAAUUUAAUUUAUCUUA